rnacentral:rRNA from 1 species
AUUCCGGUUGAUCCUGCCGGAGGCCAUUGCUAUUGGGAUCCGAUUUAGCCAUGCUAGUUGUACGAGUUUAGACUCGUAGCGAAUAGCUCAGUAACACGUGGCCAAACUACCCUUCGGACCACGAUACCCUCGGGAAACUGAGGUUAAUAGUGUAUCCCACACUCAGACUGGAAUGUCGAGUGUGACAAACGCUCCGGCGCCGAAGGAUGUGGCUGCGGCCGAUUAGGUAGACGGUGGGGUAACGGCCCACUGUGCCAAUAAUCGGUACGGGUCAUGAGAGUGAGAACCCGGAGACGGAAUCUGAGACAAGAUUCCGGGCCCUACGGGGCGCAGCAGGCGCGAAACCUUUACACUGCACGCCAGUGCGAUAAGGGGAUCCCAAGUGCGCAGGCAUAGAGCCUGCGCUUUUGUUCACCCUAGGGAGGUGACCGAAUAAGGGCUGGGCAAGACCGGUGCCAGCCGCCGCGGUAAUACCGGCAGCCCGAGUGAUGGCCGAUCUUAUUGGGCCUAAAGCGUCCGUAGCU